ACGGGAGGCAGCAGUGGGGAAUCUUGCGCAAUGCGCGAAAGCGUGACGCAGCAACGCCGCGUGGGGGAAGACGGCCUUCGGGUUGUAAACCCCUUUCAGGAGGGACGAAGGUUCGCCGGUGAAUAGCCGUGCGGAUUGACGGUACCUCCAGAAGAAGCUCCGGCUAACUACGUGCCAGCAGCCGCGGUAAUACGUAGGGAGCAAGCGUUGUCCGGAAUCAUUGGGCGUAAAGCGCGCGUAGGCGGCCCUGUAAGUCCGUUGUGAAAGUCAAAGGCUCAACCUUUGAAAGCCGAUGGAUACUGCAGGGCUAGAGUUCGGAAGAGGCGAGUGGAAUUCCUGGUGUAGCGGUGGAAUGCGCAGAUAUCAGGAGGAACACCAAUAGCGAAGGCAGCUCGCUGGGACGGUACUGACGCUAAGGCGCGAAAGCGUGGGGAGCGAACAGGAUUAGAUACCCUGGUA
rnacentral:rRNA from 1 species